UACGUAGGGAGCAAGCGUUGUCCGGAUUCACUGGGUGUAAAGGGUGCGCAGGCGGAUUUGUUAGUCAGAGGUGAAAUCUCACGGCUUAACCGUGAAACUGCCUUUGAUACUGCAGAUCUUGAGUUUGGGAGAGGUUGAUGGAAUUCCAGGUGUAGCGGUGAAAUGCGUAGAUAUCUGGAAGAACACCAGUGGCGAAGGCGGCUACCUGGACCGGUUCUGACGCUGAUGCGCGAAAGCGUGGGUAGCAAACAGG
rnacentral:rRNA from 1 species